rnacentral:rRNA from 1 species
AUUGAACGCUGGCGGCAGGCCUAACACAUGCAAGUCGAGCGGAUGAAGGGAGCUUGCUCCUGGAUUCAGCGGCGGACGGGUGAGUAAUUCCUAGGAAUCUGCCUUGUAGUGGGGGAUAACGUCCGGAAACGGGCGCUAAUACCGCAUACGUCCUGAGGGAGAAAGUGGGGGAUCUUCGGACCUCACGCUAUCAGAUGAGCCUAGGUCGGAUUAGCUAGUUGGUGGGGUAAAGGCCUACCAAGGCGACGAUCCGUAACUGGUCUGAGAGGAUGAUCAGCCACACUGGAACUGAGACACGGUCCAGACUCCUACGGGAGGCAGCAGUGGGGAAUAUUGGACAAUGGGCGAAAGCCUGAUCCAGCCAUGCCGCGUGUGUGAAGAAGGUCUUCGGAUUGUAAAGCACUUUAAGUUGGGAGGAAGGGCAGUAAGUUAAUACCUUGCUGUUUUGACGUUACCAACAGAAUAAGCACCGGCUAACUUCGUG